CUUCAAUGCAAGCUCUAGCUGCUACUUCAAUGCUGGGUCAAGCUACUGCUUCAACGCAAGCUCAAGCUACUAUUUUGAUGCAAGCUCGAGCUACUGUUUCAACAUCGACUAAGGAACCUGAGGCACCAUCAGUUUCUAAGCCGGUCCUGACGCUGUCAGCUCUUAUAGCACUUCCCACUAUGCCAUCUGCAAAAGGGGUGGCG
rnacentral:lncRNA from 1 species